CCUGCCGAGGAGCGCUGCGACCCGACCGGUUUUUUCCGGACUCCGGGCCAGGCUCGGCAACGAUCAACGGCGCUCGCAAACC
rnacentral:ncRNA from 2 species